rnacentral:rRNA from 1 species
AUUGAACGCUGGCGGCAGGCUUAACCCAUGCACGUCGAACGAGUGGCGGACGGGUGAGUAAUGCUUGGGAAUCUAGCUUAUGGAGGGGGAUAACUACGGGAAACUGUAGCUAAUACCGCGUACCAUAGGAUGAGCCCAAGUGGGAUUAGGUAGUUGGUGAGGUAAAGGCUCACCAAGCCGACGAUCUCGAGCUGGUCUGAGAGGAUGACCAGCCACACUGGGAAGGAGACACGGCCCAGACUCCUACGGGAGGCAGCAGUGGGGAAUAGUGCACAAUGGGCGCAAGCCUGAUGCAGCCAUGCCGCGUGUGUGAAGAAGGCCUUCGGGUUGUAAAGCACUUUCAGCGGGGAGGCGUUACCCGCAGAAGAAGCACCGGCUAACUCCGUGCCAGCCGCCGCGGUAAUUC